rnacentral:lncRNA from 1 species
AUGCUAAAACCUUUCAUGUCAGCUUUACUGUUAGAAGCCUACAAAAGCCAAACCUGCUUCACCUCCAUUGUCUGCUACCACAAAACACACAUGCCUAGAGAUAAGGAUUGUUCAGGACGAACAUCAUGGAAAAUUACUCAAAGUCACAUCACAAUUUCAGGUUCAUUCACUCCAGCAGUUUGCAACGGAAUCAAGUUGGCACUUUUACCUAAGAUGGGAACAUUUUUAUGCAUGAAAUGUAAACUUUAUUUGUCUCAACGAAAGCAAAAACAUGUUUUUGUUGUGCAGCUCUAGAGAAAUGCAGCACACAAGGUUAAAAAACAAAACAAAACUUAAGCACAGUUUCCAGGAAAGCCAAACUUAAUGAAACUCAUUCUUCUAGUGAAAGUUCAAAGGUACAAUGGAAAACAACAACAAAGAAAACAUUGCUGCACAACUUCAUUACAUCACUCACCGUACAUUCAGCAUUCCUACAGUAACAACAGCCUCAUUGUCAUUAACGGCAUCUCACCUCUGUACAGCAUUCUUGUGCAACACCUGCCACAUUCAGAGUGAUCUGCUAUAACUAGAUGUGGACAUAAGUUGCACACCCUCCCUCCCGAGAUGCUUCAUCAAAUAUGAACCUACAUAUUUAGAUCAGCUGACAUGUCUGCAUUUUAUCUUUAACAGCUACAAACCACCAAGCUAAUCCUCACUACUUACACUAACUACAGUGCACCUUCUCCAUCUAUCACCCCACAAAAGCACCUUUAACCCUUCAUUAAAACUUGACUUUAAACAUAAAAAAGGAAAUAAAACUCAGGAGCCUCACAUGGUGAACAUUGAAUAGGUUAACAGCACAUUAUUUGAUAUAAAUGAAAAACUACAUUGUAUAAAAUAUGAAUGUAACAUACAUUAUCACCUCAUCAUGAUAUAAUGUUAUAUAUCUUUUGACUUAUUAUAUUUAUAGAAAUCUUUACUUAAAAUUCCCUUGCAGCCAAUCAUAUGUCACCAGGUUGUUACACAGAGCUGUUAAAUUUAGUCAGUUUUCAUUGGCUAUGGCAGAAACAGGAAUUCAGAUUGAGCCAACUGCAUAAAAAACUACAGUAGCUGCUGUUUGUUCUGAUGACAGUUUUCAGCUGUUUUUCACACCAAGUUUUUUUUUGUUUGUGAGUAGAAUUAAAUAAUAUCACAAAGAACAAUUUGAUUGGUUAAACCAAAUAGUAGAUCUAGGUAAGUUGUUGGGCUAACUAGCUUCAUUUUACUUUCCUCAUAAGAGGAUAACUCACAAAACUCAGGUCUACAUUUGUAAAAUUUGUAUAUAAACCUACAUUUACAUUUGUCCGCACCUUUUAAAUGUCCUGCUCGUGUUGCAACUUUGAAGUGACAACAUACCUCACAUGAACAAAAUGGCAGAAUGUGACCUUUGACCUUUGUCUUUUGUCAUGAUUCGGAAACUCUCUGAAUCAAAUUAUUUUACAAGCAGUGACCACAACAUAUCUGAUCAAUUACAACACAGUAAAACAUAAUGUUACAUAUCAGUAAAUACAAUUAAAUGAAUAUCACUUUUUUAAUAUAUAAAAACAUCACCCAAAGCUGUAACAGCAAAACAUAAAUGAAGAGAAUAACAUGAAUUAGAAAAAACGUUGAUGCGUGAUCUCCUUAACUAAGCACAAUGUGUUCAUCCCCUUGGUUUGUUUCCAGUUAGUAAAACAAAAUCAGGAUAUGUAAAAACAACAAUAUAUAGGCAUUGAAUAAAUUAAUCAAUUUAAAUCCCAACACAGUGAUAUAUAUUCAAAAUACAUAUUUACAGCCUAUUAAAAUAAAAGAAAGAGAGACAAAAAAAUAAGUCCUAAAGGGAAAACGUUUCUUGAAUGAAUUUUAAUUGACUGUUAGCACUUCAUGCUGAAUACUUUCACAAUGUCCACCUCUUUACCGAGCUCACUCAUACUCACGUAUAUAAUUGUGAAUUUACCAUAAAUAGACAAGUAUUUUAGUAGGCUAAAACUUUUGCAGCAUUUAGUAAGUUGAUAUGCACUUGGUACAUGGAAAUCCAAAUCUGACAUCAUUUGUGACUGAUAUGUUAAAAUACUAUGUGCCGGUGGCUACAAAGGAAAAAGCUAAGUUAUGCCUAACAUAGACACCGCCUCUCAUGGAGUCUGAGGUGCUGUGCCAUGUGGUGAGACUCAUGGAAGGUAAAGAAAAAACCAAAACAAAGCACAAAAACAACAAAAGGGUGCAGCACAGCAACAUUUCAGUUGCUGACUAUGAAUAACCUCAAUUAAAACAUUUAAAUUAAGCUAUAAUCAGGAGCUAGAACAUCAGACAGUUUGAUUUUUUUUUUUUUUCCAAACUACUAACAAACUACUACAUAGUUUUAUGUUCAUUGCUUACUUAAAUUCUGAGAGAGCGAGGAAAAAAAUAAAAGUCACUUAGUCACAUACAUCUAAAUCCACAAACUGCUGUUCAAAAAGCAGUUGAAAAAUAAAUAAAAAGAAAAAAAAAAAAUCUAAUCUUCCUUUGCUGACGUUUUUUAAAAAAAAAAAACAAACAAAAAAAAAAAAAAACCUCUUCACAGGAAUUGGUAAGUGGCGAUCAAACAUUCAUGGCCGAUAAUUUCACUCAUUUUAACGCUGAAAGACCAUUACCCACAGGUCAUAGCAGUGAGUACAACUGCCUCCCCUUGCCUGACAAAAUGCUCAUGGUUCAGGUCUGACAGAUGCAGUGGUCCCACUUUGUGUUCAACAGGCUAAAUAAGGAAGGCAGCCACCGCUUCACUUGGGGUCUGGCCUAGUCUGGACUCUGAGGGGAAAAUCCACCCAGAAAUACUUUGACACUGUUCAACUAAAAUCCAUUUGGUGAUACUAUUCAUCUAAGAAAAAGUUUACAGAGAACACGUCCUGUGGCUGAAUUAAAAUUUCAGUCUACCUCACUUUCUCUUUGUGUGAAUGUUUGAGUUUAAAGCAAUACAACCAGUGGGUUUUUUUUUUUUUUUUUAACUCAGAAACUGGCUGAUGUUGUCAAAAAGUCAAAAAUGUAGAAGUCAUUAUCAUAAGUUACUGUGCUAACAUGGUAGUCCAACAGAUAUUCAAUUGGUUUGUGUGGUAUUGAGUUUUUUGUCUGUGAAGGUUCUCAGUCAUCCAGGUCAUUGUAGUCUAAGGAGCUUGGAAAGAAAAGCGUCUGGACUUCUUUAAGAUGCUUGAAGAUGUUUCACCUCUCAUCCGAGAAGCUUCUUCAGUUCUAGGGUCAAAUGGUGGAGAGUCCCAGAUUUAAAUCCAGACUCUCCACCAGGCGCUUUCACAAAUGCUUUUCUUCCCAUGCUCCUUAGAUUUAGAGUUUUUUCUUCUGUUUCCUGUUGUCUUCUUAAGUUCCAGUGCAUUUGACCGCUCAAGGCCACCAUACAAACAGCCAUUAUCUGUCAAUAUUGGUUGGCCGAUAUAUCACAGCACUGCACACACAGAGUGAAAACUAAGCAGAAUCAAUGAUUGAAAACUGAUUACAAGUUUUAGACAAUGUUGAAAAAUUGUACCCCACCCCCCAAAAAAUUAAAACGUGUUCACAAUAAUGUCAGUGUCAUGAGUUUCAUGUUGGAAUGGGGCCACAAUCCUCUGGUGACCAUGAGUGUGUGCACCAGAUUUUCUGUUCAAUUAGUUCAGUAAGUAUUGAUAUACUUUACUAUAGACCCAACUGGUGAAGAAUGCAUAAAAGCUAAACCUCAGAUCGAUUUAAGAUGUAGCGUAUCUAUAACAGUGUUAAAGUAUUUAAAGGUGGAUUAUUCCAGUACUAUAAAAAGCUUGAUCUGGCCUUGAUUAGCUGGAUGCUUUAUAUAUAAAAAAUAAAUGUCCAGCGUUGGUGGUUAACCUCAGCAUAUGAUUGCAUUCAUUAAAGGACUUUUGACUAAGACUUGGCUUGCUAAAGAGCAGAAUGUGAGCUUUACAGUAUAGUUGGUCUAACAAGGUAUAAUUCCCCAGUUUCAAACAAUGAACAUUGGAAAACAAACACUUUUCUUUCCAAACACUGCACAGUUCCUUAAAAGUGCCACUCCAUCCAGUACAUACAUCAUGCAAUGUCAACACAAGAAUAUCAGGAUCUUUGUCAAACACCCUGACUAGUCACAAUUAAAGAGCUCAGUUCCUUAGAUUAAGCGGUUUGUUGGGAGGUUAUGUUACAGUGCAGAUUUCCUACAGACAUAAAUGCAUAGGAUACAAAUCAGUCACAAUAAACAUCAAGCAAAGAAAAUGACUGCAAUAGGUUU